UCCGUAGGCGGAAUGGAAAGUCAGAUGUAAAAGUCCUGGGCUCAACCUGGGAAUGCCAUUUGAAACUGUCAUUCUAGAGUAUAGGAGAGGAAAGGGGAAUUUCUGGUGUAGCGGUGAAAUGCAUAGAUAUCAGAAGGAACACCAAUGGCGAAGGCAACUUUCUGGCCAAAUACUGACGCUGAGGGACGAAAGCAUGGUUAGCGAACA
rnacentral:rRNA from 1 species